AUUGAACGCUGGCGGCAGGCUUAACACAUGCAAGUCGAGCGGAGCGAGGGUGCUUGCACCUUAGCUUAGCGGCGGACGGGUGAGUAAUGCUUAGGAAUCUGCCUAUUAGUGGGGGACAACAUUCCGAAAGGAAUGCUAAUACCGCAUAAGUCCCUUCGGGGAGAAAGAUGGCCUCUUUGCUGUCGCUAAAGGAUGAGCCUGCGUACUAUUAGCUAGUUGGUGGGGUAAUGGCCUACCAAGGCGAUGAUGGUUAACCGGCCUGAGAGGGUGUACGGUCACACUGGAACUUAGGCACGGUCCAGACUCCUACGGGAGGCAGCAGUGAGGAAUAUUGCGCAAUGGGCGAAAGCCUGACGCAGCGACGCCGCGUGGAGGAUGAAGGUCUUCGGAUUGUAAACUUCUGUUAAGUGGGAAAAAAUGCAUGGUUAUAAUACAGCCGUGAGAUGAUUGUACCAUUAGAGAAAGCACCGGCUAACUUCGUGCCAGCAGCCGCCGUAAAAC
rnacentral:rRNA from 1 species